rnacentral:rRNA from 1 species
AUUGAACGCUGGCGGCAUGCUUUACACAUGCAAGUCGAACGGCAGCGCGGGCUUCGGCCUGGCGGCGAGUGGCGAACGGGUGAGUAAUACAUCGGAACGUGCCCAGUAGUGGGGGAUAGCUCGGCGAAAGCCGGAUUAAUACCGCAUACGACCUGAGGGUGAAAGCGGGGGAUCUUCGGACCUCGCGCUAUUGGAGCGGCCGAUGGCAGAUUAGCUAGUUGGUGGGGUAAAGGCCUACCAAGGCGACGAUCUGUAGCUGGUCUGAGAGGACGACCAGCCACACUGGAACUGAGACACGGCCCAGACUCCUACGGGAGGCAGCAGUGGGGAAUGUUGGACAAUGGGCGAAAGCCUGAUCCAGCAAUGCCGCGUGUGAGAUGAAGGCCUUCGGGUUGUAAAGCACUUUUGGCGGGAACGAAAAGGACUGUGCCAAUACCACGGUUCGAUGACGGUACCCGCAGAAUAAGCACCGGCUAACUACGUG